GGCUAUUCAGGAGCCCGCCAAGAGUUACCUCGUUAGAGCAAAAGAUGCUACUAUCACUUAGGAAAUUACAAAGGUUUUAGGAGGUGAAACAGUCGCAAAUGGAAUUCCAAGAAACAUUCUAUAUACACUGCCUCUAGGACUGGGACAGAUAGCCACUGAGUACCUGCUUCAAAUCACCCUGCACGUUUUCUCUUUGGAAAGAUAAGCACUGGAGAACCAUCUCGUUACCUUCAGCAGAAAUGGAAACAAAUCAAGACAUUAAGAAUGCCGCAGUGGACAGCAGUUAUGCAAGGUUCAGCAGAGGAAGUUUUCAAGAUGGUGUGCCUCACUAGCCAGAAAUCAGAAAAGAUCGAAGCUAGCCUUUUCAUCUCAGCUGCUCCUUAAAUCAGUGCAACCCCUCCAAAUUAAUGUGAAUUGAAACUUGCAUUGCUUUUCAACUUAAUUGAAUACUUACUAUAUGUGAACCACUGCACAAAAUAGGGGAAGAAGAUGUGGGAGACAAAGAUGUGGAGCCUGUCUUCAAUAAAUUUACAGUUAGUUUCAGGGUACAUUGUUUUUCUUCUGCUGUUAAUUAGGUGUAUCCCCAAGACAAUAAAUACAUGAAUGGAAAAGUAUAUUCUGUGUUUUAAGUCUCUUUAAUAAAAAACAAAACAAAAUCCAAAAAAACUCCUAACAUGGCAACUCAGGACAUUUUAAUCCUUUUUUUUGUUGUUGGGCUUCUGAUAGGAUCCAUUUUAUUGAUUCCAUAAAUAUUUAGUAGACUUUAGACAUAUUAAUACAUUGUAGUUUGAGUUAAUUUGCAUUAAAUUCUGUUUUUUUCCCCUUAGGUAUAGAUUGUCUGUUGGAAAAAUAUAUUGCUUGUGGAUUUCUUGGGGAGUGGGAAGGUGAAUUAUACCUGUUGUCUCUACAGUCCACUACCUUCCACACCCUAGGGCAGUGGUCCCCAACCUUCUUGGCACCAGGGAUCAGUUUCCUGGAAGACAAUUUUUCUGUGGAUGGUGUGGGGAUGGUUUUGGGAUGGAACUGUUCCACCUCAGAUCAUCAGGCAUUAGUUAGGCUCUCAUAACGAGUGCGCAGCCUAGAUCCCUCACAUGCACAGUUCACAGUAGGGUUUGCGCUGCUAUGAGAAUCUAAGGCUGCCACUGAUCUGACAGGAGGCAGAACUCAGGUGGCAAUGCUUACUGGCCCACUGCUCACCUCUUGCUGUGCGGCCUGGUUCCUAAUAGGCCAUGGACCCCCACAGACGGGUACUAGUCUGCAGCCUGUGGACCCCAGCCCUAGGGGCCUGCCAUUCUGAGUGAGUUAUUAGCAUGAAGAAGAGGAAGAUCUGGAUCAAACGUGGGUGAUGGUACUCAGAGACCCAAGAUAGGAUAGGGAUGGAACAAAAUCCAUCUGGGCAACGGCUCUAUGAAAAUUUGGCUAAGUAAUUAUUUCAGUAUUCAUUGUAUUCAUUGUCCUUCGUGUUCCAUAAGUUAAAUGACUGUCUAAUUUUUCCAAAAAUUUAUUUCUGACUUGAGAAUAAGUGUGUCAUGAUUUUCCCAGUGUAAAGACACUGAUAUAACUGUAGAUACCAGACAUUUUAUGUAGUGUCUAUGACACAUUUUAGUAUGUAUGAGCCAACAAUAGACAUGUCUUUGUCUUGAGGAGUGUCCAUCUGAAUUGAAAAUGUGUCAGCUUUUUUUUAACAUCAUCAACAGACUUCUUAAUUAAGCUGCCAAUACAUACUGCCAAUAGCACUGUGUGCUGUCUGAGAAAUG
rnacentral:lncRNA from 1 species